UGGGGAAUUUUGGACAAUGGGCGAAAGCCUGAUCCAGCCAUGCCGCGUGAGUGAAGAAGGCCUUCGGGUUGUAAAGCUCUUUUGUCCGGGAGGAAAUCCUGACCCCUAAUACGGGUCGGGGAUGACAGUACUGGAAGAAUAAGCACCGGCUAACUACGUGCCAGCAGCCGCGGUAAUACGUAGGGUGCAAGCGUUAAUCGGAAUUACUGGGCGUAAAGCGUGCGCAGGCGGUUUUGUAAGCCAGAUGUGAAAUCCCCGAGCUUAACUUGGGAACUGCGUUUGGAACUGCAAGACUAGAGUGUGUCAGAGGGGGGUAGAAUUCCACGUGUAGCAGUGAAAUGCGUAGAGAUGUGGAGGAAUACCGAUGGCGAAGGCAGCCCCCUGGGAUAACACUGACGCUCAUGCACGAAAGCGUGGGGAGCAAACA
rnacentral:rRNA from 1 species